AUCCGUAGGGUUUCCAUCGGCUAAUUUUUGGAAGUAGGUCACCAGGUCUUUCUUCCUAGUCUGUCUUAGCCUGGAAGAUCCUGGGUGACCCCGCUGGUACUUGGCGUAGCUUCCAGCAUCAUGGGAACACGCAAGCACCGCAGCAAGCCAGCCGACAGACGGGGUGGUCCUCAGUGUACGCUGUCUGAUUCCAUCCUCACAACAUCCUCAACAGGAGAAGCAAAACUGCUUUCAUUCUGUAAACGAGCAAACGGACACUCAGCCACGGGAACCACGGACAGUGGAAAAGAUGGCUCAAAAAUGAUUCUGAACUUGGACUGAAGGCUUCAAAUCCUCCUUUUGCCUGUGAACUUUGAGGAAAAGAUGAGAAAAUCUUGCUGCUGUUUCCAAGCGGAAAUUCAAAGUAUGAAUUCCCCACUGUGCCGUCAAAGCAGUCAGUUCUCAACUCCGUUUGUUUUCUGAACUGAGAUACCAAGUUAAAAACUGAUAGUCACCUCAGCCACCAAACAGCAUUCAGCCGAAAAGAGAGAGAA